rnacentral:rRNA from 1 species
GGGCAGGCGGCGUGCUAUACAUGCAGUCGAGCGGACAGAUGGGAGCUUGCUCCCUGAUGUUAGCGGCGGACGGGUGAGUAACACGUGGGUAACCUGCCUGUAAGACUGGGAUAACUCCGGGAAACCGGGGCUAAUACCGGAUGCUUGUUUGAACCGCAUGGUUCAAACAUAAAAGGUGGCUUCGGCUACCACUUACAGAUGGACCCGCGGCGCAUUAGCUAGUUGGUGAGGUAAUGGCUCACCAAGGCAACGAUGCGUAGCCGACCUGAGAGGGUGAUCGGCCACACUGGGACUGAGACACGGCCCAGACUCCUACGGGAGGCAGCAGUAGGGAAUCUUCCGCAAUGGACGAAAGUCUGACGGAGCAACGCCGCGUGAGUGAUGAAGGUUUUCGGAUCGUAAAGCUCUGUUGUUAGGGAAGAACAAGUACCGUUCGAAUAGGGCGGUACCUUGACGGUACCUAACCAGAAAGCCACGGCUAACUACGUGCCAGCAGCCGCGGUAAUACGUAGGUGGCAAGCGUUGUCCGGAAUUAUUGGGCGUAAAGGGCUCGCAGGCGGUUCCUUAAGUCUGAUGUGAAAGCCCCCGGCUCAACCGGGGAGGGUCAUUGGAAACUGGGGAACUUGAGUGCAGAAGAGGAGAGUGGAAUUCCACGUGUAGCGGUGAAAUGCGUAGAGAUGUGGAGGAACACCAGUGGCGAAGGCGACUCUCUGGUCUGUAACUGACGCUGAGGAGCGAAAGCGUGGGGAGCGAACAGGAUUAGAUACCCUGGUAGUCCACGCCGUAAACGAUGAGUGCUAAGUGUUAGGGGGUUUCCGCCCCUUAGUGCUGCAGCUAACGCAUUAAGCACUCCGCCUGGGGAGUACGGUCGCAAGACUGAAACUCAAAGGAAUUGACGGGGGCCCGCACAAGCGGUGGAGCAUGUGGUUUAAUUUCGAAGCAACGCGAAG